GGCUGAGACUCUGUGCAGCCCCACAACCAGGAACCACCGUGCUCGGCUGCUGGCAGGCAACAACCUGUAAUCUGUCGACACACAGAACUGGACCCCAGGCGACCAGCUGCGACCCCCUGGCCCUGCCUCUGCUCCUGUCUCUAGAAGAUAAACCUUAAGACUACUUUUGACAUUUCUUCAGAGCAAAACUGCACCAGAGCCACGUGAUGCCGCUGCUUUGUGACUCAGCACUGGCUGCCAUGUGCGCGGCGACCACCCCCUGCUCAUGGGUGCCUGGCACGUGAGCAGCUCAUGGCAUGGUGUGGGCGUGGGCGUGUCCUUUCACCCACAGAUCCCCGGCUCAUAUGGCCACGCCCAAUACAGAUGGAGGCAGUGGCGGGUCCAGCAGAGGCCCGGGGCUGCCCCUAACACUCAGAUGGCCAGACUUGGCCAGAUUCUCCCAUAGUCGCUUGUACGUCACACCAGGAAGUGAGGAACCCCAGCUGUGGAGCAGGUCACUUCUGACCCUGCCCUGACCCUGGUCACCCAGACGGGAGAAGUAAUCGCAAGCAGAGGAGGGCACCCACAGAACCGCAGCCUGAGACCCGUGUGUGGACUUGCUUCCCAGCACCAAGGACCUACAACACCCUCCUCCACACGUUGGCUCAGAGGGAAAAACUGAUGCUGUAGACAGAGCAUGCUCAGAUCGAGAGGUGAUACUAUAAACUCAGAGCUGGCCAUGUCCAGCCUGUUACCUGUGUUUGUAAAUAAAGUUUUAUUGGAACACUG